ensembl:lncRNA
CUACUCUUCAUUACUUUGAAAGUAUUUGUCAACACUGCUGGAAAAAAAUGAUCAAUGCUAUUUCUCUCUUUCUUUUAGAUUGAUUUUGAGGUAACAAGAUGACAGAGUUUCAAAGAAACAUAAAUGGGACUGUCUUCCUAUGGUGUCAAGAUGGCUCCUGGAAGCUCCACACUUAGCUGGUCAUUAAAGAUUAUGAUGUCACAGAAAGAUAGAAACCAUCUUGUCUUCAACAGCCUCAUCAACUCCUGGGAAGAUUGCUUAGGCCCAACCCGUGUGUACCUGGAGGAUUGCCACCCCCAUCUGCCUGCCCCUGUACUGGAAGCUGAUUGUCGCUCCCCACCUGCACUCUGGGACACUGCUUUGUGCUGGCCAGUUUUCUAGACCAGCUUUAGCCUGGACAAAUGGGGGAAUUUUCUUUUUUUCCUAUCUGGUGGGCUAAGUUAUACUUUCCCUAAUAAGGUAUGAACUUCAGCCUUGAGGAGAGAGUUUCACUCUGAGUUUGUCUUUCCUUGGAUACUCUCUCUCAUUCCUGGAGUAUCACACAGCAUUUUCAUAUCUGUUAUGAUUAUUCUUUUAUCAUAGAUUGAUGAUUCUUUAUAUUGAGCUUUGGUUGUUUAACUCACCAUGUGGUUUCUGUUUCGACCUACAUUAGUCAUUAGUCAGUGCAAAUUAAAACCACAAAGAGAUACAAUUAUAUAUAUACUUGAAUGGCUAAUCUGUUUUUUAAAAAAGUAUGGACAAUACCAAAUAUUGGUAAAAAUGUAGGGCACCUGGAAUUCUCAUUCACUAUUGGUGGGAAUAUGAAAUAUUAUUAGCACUUUGGGGAAAAAAAGCCUCAAAGAUUCUUAUAAAACUAAGAUACACUUAUUCUAAUAUUCAUCAGUUCUACUCCAAGAGAAAUCAAGACAUAUAUCCACAGAAAGGCUUGUAUAGGAAUGUUCUGAGAUAUUGUACUGAUAAUAGCCAAAGCUGAAAACAAAUGCCCAUCAAUAGGCACAUGGGUAAAUAGACUAUGGUGUAGUAAUUUGAUGGAGUACUACUUAGUGAUAAAAGAACAGAAAACACUGCUUUUGAGCAACAUUGAUGAAUCUCAAAAUCAUACUGAGUGAAAGAAGCCUUAAACAAAAUUUUCAUAUUAUAUGACUCUAUGAGAUUCUAGACCAAGUAAACUAAGGUUUGGCAGGGGGAAAACAGUGGUUGACUCUGUGAAGAAUAGAGAUUAAUUGGGAAGAGGCUUGCAAGAAUGUUCUGGAGUGAUGAAAGUAUUAUUAUACCUCUUGAUAUUCUCUGUGCAAAUACUAAGAAUGAAUCUUUAAAAAACAUGAAUUCAGUUUAUAUAGAUUAUGCAUUUGCCAAAACUUAUUGAAUGGUUCUGUUAAGAUUUGUGCAUUUCAUAGCAGUGCAUUUAACCUAAAAAUGUUUAAAGAAGCAAUGGUGUAAUGCUACAGUGCUUAGAUGAGAAGUAUACUGAUGCCUGCAACCUAUUUUGAAAUUCAUUCAAAAUACAGGUAGAUUGGAUUCCUGGGUGGCGCAGCGGUUUGGCGCCUGCCUUUGGCCCAGGGCGCGAUCCUGGAGACCUGGGAUCGAGUCCCACGUCGGGCUCCCGGUGCAUGGAGCCUGCUUCUCCCUCUGCCUGUGUCUCUGCCCCCUCUCUCUCUUUCUGUGUGACUAUCAUAAAUAAAUAAAAAUUUAAAAAAAAAUACA